AUGGAGAAAAAAAAGAAAAACCAACCGAGGCACAUCCUUGUCACCCAGAAAGAAACUGCUCGGGCCGCUGAGAGCGGGCGCGGGACCGGGCGCGGCGCCUCUCCCGGCCCGGCUCGCUCUUUCUUCCCUCCUCGGCCGGGCCGCGCCUCCCCGCCCCGCGCCGCCGCCACCAAGCAGCCCGCGGGCAGAGCCGAGCUCUCCGCGGCGCGCAGCCGGGAGCGAAAGCGCGAGCUCGCUCGCAGCCUCCAGCCGGUCUGGGCGGCGAGUGGCGCUGUUUCCCAGUCGCGCAGCUGGAAUUUAAAGAGACAGGCGCGUCGCGGGAUCUGGGCCCUUGCCCAGGAGAGGAGCCCCACAGGAGGCCCAACGUCUCGGAACCGCGCGGGAUGGACCGAGCGGGCCCUGCGAGAAAAGUUUCCUGCGGAGACGGCUGGAGGAGCGCCUGAGGACCAGGCUCAGCUUCCUCUCCCGAGUGCAGAACACAGUCUGCAAGGAGAGAACUAGGAAGUUUUCCUGGUAAUUUAUAAGCUUGUUGAAGUUGUAAGAACUAACGAAGCCAGUUUCAUUAUCAGCUUUAUCAAGACUCUUACCUAAAAAGGAGGUACUUACUACUUCUGUCAAACAACUGUUUGUCCUAUGUUAACACUAAUUAUCAUUAAUCAACCUAAGAAUCAAAGCUUAUUUAAGUCCCCACCCUUAACUGUACCCAGUAUCCAUUUACAAUGUCAGCUACUAGGGCUGGUAAAGAUAAAUAAUUAUAUCUUUUAUAAGAAAAUUGCACUAAUAUCUUGCUAUGGUUUAAAUAUGUCUCCCAAAGUGCUUCUGUUGGAAACUCAAUCUCUAAUGCAACAUUGUUGAAAGGCGAGACCUUUAAGAGGUGAUUCAGUCAUGAAGGCAAAGCUACUAUUGUGGGAGUGGGUUAGUUAUUACAGGAGUGGGCUCUUGAUAAGAGAAUCAAUUUAGAUCCUUUUCUCUCUCUCACAUUUGUGCUCCCUUGCACUUCUGCCUUCUGCCAUGAGAUGAUACAGCAACAAGGCCCUCACACGAUGCUGAUACCUUGAUAGUGGACUUCUCAACCUCCAAUAACUGACAUAAAUUUCUGUUUUUUAUAAAUUACCCAGUCUGUGGUAUUUAGUUAUAGCAACACAACAUGAACUAAGACAGAAAACUGGUACUUGAGAAGUGAGGCUGUUGCUAUAAUAAAUAUUUGAAUAUGUGGAGCUGGGUAAUGGGUACACACUGAAAGAAUUUGGAGGAGCAGGCUAGAAAAAGGCCCAGGUUGCUGGAAAUGGAGUGUUAAUGGCAAUUCUGGUGAGGGAUCAGAAUAGGAGAGCUGUAGGGAAAUUCUGAAAUUUAUUAGAGAUUAAUUAAGUGGUCAUAACUAGAAUGCCAGUAGAAACAUAGGGAGCAAAAGCCAUUCAGAUGAGAUCUUAGAAAUAAAUGAGGAAUGACAUAUUGGAAACUGGAGGAAAGGCCAUUCUUGUAAUAUAGUUGUAAAGAAUCUGGCAGAAUUGUGUCUGUGUCCUAGGACUUUGUAGAAGGCAGAGCUUAAGAGCAAUGAACUAGGAUAUUUGGCCAAAGAAAUGUCUAAACAGCAGAGUGUUCUACGUGCUGCAUGUCUUCUUGUAGCCACGCACAGUAAAAUAAGGAAAGAAACUAUUGAAAUAUGGAAUUUAUAAUUAAAAUGGAAGCAGAACAGAAAGAUUUGGAAAACUGUCAGGCUGGCCAAGUAAACAAUGAAAAAGAAUGUUUUGGAGGGAAUGCUAAGACCAUGACCAAGCCACCUUUUGUUAAAGAGAUUAAUAUGAAUAGAAGAAACCUAGGUUCUAUUCAUCCAGACAAUGGGAGAAUGACCCUGAAGGCAUUUCAGAGAUCUUCGAGACCAGUUAGGAGGGCAAGGUUUCCAGAGAGGUGUCUUGGAACCUCAGCAUCUGCUAUCCUAUGCUGCUUCGGACCUCUGCUCCCUGAGUUCUGGCACAACUCCCUUUGGCUAUCCCAGCUGUGGUCCAAGCAGGCCAGGUGUGGCUCAAGCUGCAGCUCCAGAGGGCACAAGCAAUAAGCCUUGGCAGUCCACGUGGUGCUAACUCUGCAGACAUGCCAACUAUGCAGGCUGUGGCACCAAAGUGACCUCCACCUAGGUUUCAAAGGAUAUAUUAGACAGGCUGAGGGUCUUGGCAGAAACUUGCCACAGAGGUAAAGCCACUGCAGAAAGCCCCCACUAGGUUAAGGCCUUGUGGAGUUGUGGGAGAAAGGCCACUUCAGAGACCCCAGAACUGUAGAGCUACCAAUCUGCAACUCCAGACUGGGAGAGCUGCAUGCAUGAAAC
rnacentral:lncRNA from 1 species